GAUGAACGCUGGCGGCGUGCUUAACACAUGCAAGUCGAACGAUGAACCGGUGCUUGCAUUGGGGAUUAGUGGCGAACGGGUGAGUAACACGUGAGUAACCUGCCCUUAACUUCGGGAUAAGCCUUGGAAACGGGGUCUAAUACUGGAUAUUGACUUUUCCCCGCAUGGGGUUUGGUUGAAAGAUUUUAUUGGUUUUGGAUGGACUCGCGGCCUAUCAGCUUGUUGGUGAGGUAAUGGCUUACCAAGGCGACGACGGGUAGCCGGCCUGAGAGGGUGACCGGCCACACUGGGAMUGAGACACGGCCCAGACUCCUACGGGAGGCAGCAGUGGGGAAUAUUGCACAAUGGGCGAAAGCCUGAUGCAGCGACGCCGCGUGAGGGAUGACGGCCUUCGGGUUGUAAAGCACUUUUGUCCGGAAAGAAAAGCUUAGGGUUAAUAACCUUGAGUCAUGACGGUACCGGAAGAAUAAGCACCGGCUAACUUCGUGCCAGCAGCCGCGGUAAUACGAAGGGUGCAAGCGUUACUCGGAAUUACUGGGCGUAAAGCGUGCGUAGGUGGUUUGUUAAGUCUGAUGUGAAAGCCCUGGGCUCAACCUCGGAUCUGCGGUGGGUACGGGCAGACUAGAGUGAUGUAGGGGAGACUGGAAUUCCUGGU
rnacentral:rRNA from 1 species